CUCUAAUGAGACUGAGCAGGUCUACUUUGCUUGCUUGUGAAAACUCCACAGUUCCCAAGAUUUUGCAAUCUUGUAUCUAGCAACUGUUUUUCCUUAGACUAUAUCUGGUCCUUAGAUUGAUGGUUGGUUUUCUGAGAUUUUGCAAAGUAGCAGAGACAUCUCCCUGUGCUAUCAUAUUGAGCAGAUGUUUGGUAUCUCUGGGCCCUAGCUUCUGUUAGAGUGGUUAUUCCCAAGUACUUGGAAGAUUGCCACUUGUGCUUAAUAUCAGGUAUUAAUUCAGAUGUCUUUCUUUUUCUUGAAUGACGUAUAGGACUUGGAAGCAUGAAAAGGAUGUAUGCUUGGGUGUUCAUUCCUUUUAGGGCUCGGAAUGGCGAACAACACAGUUACCAUCAGACAACAACAACAAACCAUAAAAAGCAACCACAUAUGGCAAGAAGCCCACCCCCCUGCUGCACCCAUGGGAGGCCAAUGAUGAUAAUGGUCAAGCCAGGUGGCUAGAUGGGAAUGCCUGGCAGAAAAGCCUAAUUCAAGUCCUGCAGGGCCCUGAUCUCACUGGGGAGUUUAUUCCACCACGUAGAGGCCAGGGCUGAGAAGUCCCUGGCCCUCAUAGAAGCCACCAAGACAUCCUUUGGGCCAGGGAUCUCCAGCAGGUUUCCCUCAAACAAGCGGCGGGACCUGAUGGGGAGAGGUGGUCCUGUAGGUAUGCUGGUCCAAGAGCGCUCACAGCCUUAAAGGUUAACACCUAACACUUUGAAUAUGAUCUGGUACUCGAUCAGCAGCCAAUGUAGUUGGUACAGGACUGGUGUGAUCCGGUCUCCACUUGAUGCUCCAGAAAGGAGUCUGGCUUCCACAUAUUGUAUAAGCUUUAAUUUCCAGGUCACAGACAAAGGAAGCAAGCGUAUAGCAAGUUAUAAUAAUCCAAUCUGGAGGUAACAGUUGCACGGAUUACUGUGACUAGGUCAGAACGGGAGAGCUACGGAGCCAGUUGCCAUGCCUGUCACAGAUGGUAGAAGGCCACCUGAGUGGUCUUGGCAACCUGGGCUUCUAGUGACCAAGCUGAAUCCAAAAAACCCAGGCUUUUGACUGAUGAGGCCAAAUGCAAGACCUUGCUGUCUAGCAUAGACAGGCAGAAGUCAACCUGCCUCUCCCCCCGAACCACCCACAGAACCUCCAUCUUUGCUGGAUUCAGCUUCAGUCGGCUUGCUCUCAACCAACCAGCCACGGCCUCCAAACAAUGCUGGAGAGCCCCAGGGGCAGAGGUCAGGUGACCUGCCAUUGUGAACACAAGCUGGGUGUCAUCUGCAUAUUGGUGACACCGCAACCCAAAACUCUGGACCAAUCCAGCCAGGGGGCGCAUGUAAAUCACUAGUCUACUACUCAGUUCUUUGUUGACUGCUACAGCAGCUUCCUUUCAGCUAUUUCUGUAGUUAGUUAAUUUUAUCAUCUUGCCUUUUACAUUUCUACUAGUCUAGAAAGAAUUAUUUUAAAAAAAACACAGCACAUUUGGGAACCUGUAUCCAAUUUCCAGUUACAGGCUAGUAUAAAAGUCCAAGUGGCGCCUUAAACAUUAACAUUCAUUUUAAUGGCAGCAUUUGUGAGUCACAGCUCACAUCAAUUAUGUAGUCAUCAAACAGGAUUCUUUUUAUGGGGGAGAUUACUGAGGAAGGGGUUAAGGCAGAAAAUUAAUUUUCCAGUUUGAUCUCAUAUCUGAAGAAGUUGCGCCUCCAAAACCUUGUAUUGAAAUAAAUGUUAAUCUUGAAAGUU